rnacentral:rRNA from 1 species
AGCAGCCGCGGUAAUUCCAGCUCCAAUAGCGUAUAUUAAAGUUGUUGCAGUUAAAAAGCUCGUAGUUGAAUUUCGGGAUUCUACCGUUGGUCGGGCUAACAAGUCUGUACUGGUGUGUAGAAUUUCUACCUUCUGGGGAACUAUCAUGUUAUUAAUUUAGCGUGGUGGGAAACCAGGACCUUUACCUUGAAAAAAUUAGAGUGUUCAAAGCAGGCUUACGUCUGAAUACAUUAGCAUGGAAUAAUAGAAUAGGACGGUGGUCCUGUUUUGUUGGUUUCUGAAUCACCGUAAUGAUUAAUAGGGAUAGUUGGGGGCAUUAGUAUUCAAUUGUCAGAGGUGAAAUUCUUGGAUUUAUUGAAGACUAACUUCUGCGAAAGCAUUUGCCAAGGAUGUUUUCAUUAAUCAAGAACGAAAGUUAGGGGAUCGAAGACGAUCAGAUACCGUCGUAGUCUUAACCAUAAACUAUGCCGACUAGGGAUCGGACGAUGUUAAAUUAUUGACUCG